rnacentral:lncRNA from 1 species
CAGACAGACAGAAUCUAUAUUGAAAGUGAUUUUGCUACCAUCUUCAUUUGGAUCUAAAGAUGGAUGAAGCAUGUGAAGGCUCACCCAUUUAUCCAGGAUGUCAGGAUUUCUCUCCAUCAUAUUAUUGUGAUCUAGAUGCGGUAUAUCUACUGGAAGGUAAAUACUAUUGCAGACUGAGUUAUGGCUUUCGUGAUAGAACAUUAUGACAAUUAGAUCUGG